rnacentral:sRNA from 1 species
GCUGGGCACGGUGGUGCAUGCCUGUAAUUCCAGCACCUCAGGGAGACAGAAGCAGGAGGAUCACAAGUUCAAAGCCAGCUUCAGCAAUUUAGUGAGGCUCUAAGCAACUUAGUGAGACCCUGUCUCAA